rnacentral:rRNA from 1 species
AACGAACGCUGGCGGCAUGCCUAACACAUGCAAGUCGAACGAGACCUUCGGGUCUAGUGGCGCACGGGUGCGUAACGCGUGGGAACCUGCCCUUAGGUUCGGAAUAACUCCCCGAAAGGGGUGCUAAUACCGGAUAAUGUCUUCGGACCAAAGAUUUAUCGCCUUUGGAUGGGCCCGCGUUGGAUUAGCUAGUUGGUAGCGUAAAAGCCUACCAAGGCGACGAUCCAUAGCUGGUCUGAGAGGAUGAUCAGCCACACUGGGACUGAGACACGGCCCAGACUCCUACGGGAGGCAGCAGUGGGGAAUAUUGGACAAUGGGCGAAAGCCUGAUCCAGCAAUGCCGCGUGAGUGAUGAAGGCCUUAGGGUUGUAAAGCUCUUUUACCCGGGAUGAUAAUGACAGUACCGGGAGAAUAAGCUCCGGCUAACUCCGUG